rnacentral:rRNA from 1 species
AGAUUGAACGCUGGCGGCAUGCUUUACACAUGCAAGUCGAACGGUAACAGGCCGCAAGGUGCUGACGAGUGGCGAACGGGUGAGUAAUGCAUCGGAACGUGCCCAGUCGUGGGGGAUAACGCAGCGAAAGCUGUGCUAAUACCGCAUACGAUCUAUGGAUGAAGCGGGGGACCGAAAGGCCUCGCGCGAUCGGAGCGGCCGAUGUCAGAUUAGCUAGUUGGUAGGGUAAAGCCCACGAACGGCGACGAUCUGUAGCUGGUCUGAGACGGACGACCCGCCACACUGGAACUGAGACACGGUCCAGACCUCCGUACGGGAGCGAGCGAGGUAGGGUAAGUUUU